rnacentral:lncRNA from 1 species
UGAAAUAUCAAAUCAAAACGUUAUAAUAAAUGCAUUUAUACAUUCCAAGAGAUAAUGUCAAAUUCUUUAGCAGGAAAGUUAAUACUUAACGUAAACGUAGGAUAUGGAAAUAUACAGAUUCACGAGUUGAUAAAUCUGCGAAGAGGAGGACAGGGGUGUUGAAUACAUCAGCUUUGUAACUCAAAUGAUCCAGUUUCAUCGAAUCUCUCUAUUGAGGUCAAACACUUGGAUUUCACACGAUUUAUAAUGCAACCGAAUGAAUCGGAAUAUGAAAGAACAAAUUCUCGAAAAG